rnacentral:lncRNA from 1 species
UAGCUAUAUUUAGAGACACGCGCAACAUUACCAUAUAUGGUAUAAUGACUUUGUUAUUGUGAGAAGGUUAAGAGACAAUAGACAAGGUUAAGAGACAAUAGACAAGGUUAAGAGACAAUAGACAAGGUUAAGAGACAAUUGACAGGGUUUGAGACAAGUGAAUUCAUAUAUUUCGUAUUGUUUUUUGUGUAUAAUAAAUAUUUAGAGUGAGGAUUUAUAUACGAGGACAACUUCGGUAUAUAGUGGUGCCGUGACCAGGAUGUAAACAAGGGAAACAAGUGAUAUUUUACGGGGAAUUUCAACAAAUUUACAACUAUAUUUACGACGAUAAGCGAGAGUUAAAAUGAGCGACACAGAAGCACAAGCGAGCGAGCAACAAAUUGAGAAUAAAAUCAACAAGGAAAUAGAAAAGUUAAAGUAUUAUUUGGAACAAACCGACGAGCUUAUCGAAGAGCAAGAUCUUAGGGAAAUCGAAACAGUAAACAAGCGUACAAAGGCGAUUUUGGAUCAAAUAUAUAGCCUUGUUUCGACCGCUCAAGAGACGAAAGUUGAGCUGGGAAAAAGUACAUCACGGGAAAUUCGACAAUGGAAGAAAGAGGUAAGAGAUAGAUAUAUGCCAUGGGUAAAUGAAAUGAACAAACUGUCUGAUUUUCUGGCUAAACGACAAGCAAAUAUUGCCGCUGAAGAGGAAAAUAAGCGACGAGACGCGAAACGUAUCGAAGAAGAGCAUAACAGGGAAGUAAUUCGAGACCAAGAGAGGCAAAUGCUCGAAGAAAAAUUACAAGCAGAGCUUAGAAUGACGGAGAAAAAGCUAGAAAUGGAAAAAGCUGCAAGAUCAACUCUAACUAAACUUCCUAAAUUGAAAAUAACACAAUUUAAUGGAACAACAGCAGACUGGGUAAGGUUUGAGAACAUGUUUAUUACACAGGUCGAUUCUAAGCCAAUUAGUGAUGAGGAAAAGUUUGGCUAUUUACUUGAAAUGGUGAGUGGAAAAGUCAGGGAUAAGAUCUCAAACCUCAAACCGAGCUCGAUUGGAUAUAAAACGGCUUGGGAACGACUCAAAAAGGAAUACGGUCAAACAAAGUUGCUUGUGAAUGCACAUAUUGAUGAAGUAGUAAAUUUACCCACAGUACGAGGGUCCUCCUAUGAAAAGAUCUUGGCUUUCUACGAACAUUUGAGCAAGAACUAUGACGCCCUACAGACUCUCGGUGAACAUGAGAAAUUAGAUGGAUUUGUGAUGUGUACUAUUAAUAAGUUGCCAAAUGUGAAGUCAGACUUGGUAAGGACUGACGAAGAUUGGGAAGAAUGGAAAAUGGAGAACUUAGUUGAUAGUCUGCAAAAAUGGUUACGAAGAAACAAAACUGAAGAAGAUAAAUCCACAGCUGACCCAAGAAGAAGAGAGAAAAACUUGUUUGCACGUAAUGGAGGUAAAGAGAACGAAAGAGGAAAAAAGACACCUUGUUGUAUGUUCUGUAAAGCUGAACACUGGAGUGAUAUGUGCAAGUCUUAUGUAACCACAGCUCAAAGAAAGGCUUACUUCGGUGAGAACAAUUUAUGCUUCAAUUGCGGUAGCCCGGGACAUAGGGCUAGACAUUGUCGGAGUCGUGGGUGCUAUCACUGUGGGGAGAAACAUCAUACCAGUUUACAUGAUCAGAAAGAGAACAACGGUGAUGGUACAGUACUAACGGGCUACUCAACAGCAACAGACGAGAUUACAUUACCCCCCAUAAUUCCAGUUAAGGUGGAUGGAGAAGUUUUCUGGGCAUUUUUGGACACAGGAUCGGGCAGGAAUUUUAUUUCAAAGGAAGCAGUAAAGAAACUUCAAGUUUCUGCAGCACGACAUGAAUCGAAAGAAACCAUUACCAUUAAUGGAACAAAGAGACAGUCGAUGCCUAUUUACAAUGUAACAAUCGAAUCAUUAGAUGGAUCAACCAAGGAAGAUAUAGAGCUAGCCGGGUCGACAAUGAAAGAUUUCACAACAGUGAAAAGACCGGACAUGAACAAACUUAAAUGGAAUUAUGAACACACAAAGGAUAAGAGGUUUUACAUGAAAAGAGAUGGUGAAUAUCCAAUACACAUGAUCUUAGGUGACAACACCUUCUGCAAGAUUAAGACAGAGGAAAUCUACAAAGGAAAAGAUGGCGAUCCUAUCGUUGAAGGUACUUCGUUUGGUUGGAUUGUUCAUGGUGGAGAUAUUUCGAACAAUGUGUGUAUGUUUACAAGAGAACCAAAUGACUACGAGCAAUUGUAUACACUGGAUGUAGUUGGAAUUGAAGGUAGAGGGGAGAACGACCAAC